UUCUAUGGCAAUUCUACUGCAAAUUAUGAUUGCAAAGGUAACAAAUGCUCUCAGAUAUUAGAAGCAAAGCAGGGCUAGGCCUGGUUAGUACUUGCAUGGGAGACUACCAAUGAAUAUGAGGUGCUGUAGGCU
rnacentral:rRNA from 11 species